GCCAACAUGGCUUAGUGGUUUGAAAGUUCAACUACAACUCUGGAGACCAGGGUUCGAUUCCCAGCUCAGACA